GGAGGCUGACGGGAGGUGGAGAGAGAACGAGGCUGUCGGCCAUUUUGUGUCUGUUUCCUGCGGGACGCGGCGGUGGCGGUUGGUUCGGAGAAGCGGGCGAUUUCCUUCUGGUUUUUCCCCAGCUUCUUUUCGCCUCCUUUAUCCGCCCGGUCUGUGGAGUCGCGGUUAUGGGUCGCAAGAAGAAGAAGCAGCUGAAGCCGUGGUGCUGGUAUUGUAACAGAGAUUUUGAUGAUGAGAAGAUCCUUAUACAGCACCAAAAAGCAAAGCAUUUUAAAUGUCAUAUAUGCCAUAAGAAAUUGUACACAGGACCUGGAUUAGCUAUUCAUUGCAUGCAGGUGCAUAAAGAAACCAUAGAUGCUGUACCAAAUGCAAUACCUGGGAGAACAGACAUAGAGUUGGAAAUAUACGGCAUGGAAGGUAUUCCAGAGAAAGAUAUGGAUGAAAGACGGCGACUUCUUGAACAGAAAACACAAGAGAGUCAAAAAAAGAAGCAACAAGAUGAUUCUGAUGAAUAUGAUGAUGAUGAAUCCGCAGCCUCAACUUCCUUUCAGCCACAGCCUGUUCAACCUCAGCAAGGUUAUAUCCCACCAAUGGCCCAGCCAGGACUGCCGCCAGUCCCUGGGGCACCAGGAAUGCCUCCAGGCAUACCUCCGUUGAUGCCAGGUGUUCCUCCCCUGAUGCCAGGCAUGCCUCCAGUUAUGCCGGGCAUGCCACCUGGAUUGCAUCAUCAGAGAAAAUACACCCAGUCAUUUUGCGGUGAAAACAUAAUGAUGCCAAUGGGUGGAAUGAUGCCACCUGGACCUGGAAUACCACCUCUGAUGCCUGGUAUGCCACCAGGUAUGCCCCCUCCUGUUCCACGUCCUGGAAUUCCUCCAAUGACUCAAGCACAGGCUGUUUCAGCACCAGGUAUUCUUAAUAGACCACCUGCACCAGCAGCAGCAGUACCUGCUCCACAGCCUCCAGUUACUAAGCCUCUUUUCCCCAGUGCUGGACAGAUGGGGACACCUGUAACAAGCUCAAGUACAGCUUCAUCCAAUUCAGAAAGUCUGUCUGCAUCUUCUAAAGCUCUGUUUCCUAGCACAGCACAAGCUCAGGCAGCUGUCCAAGGACCUGUUGGUACAGAUUUCAAGCCCUUAAAUAGUACUCCUGUAACAACUACAGAACCCCCAAAGCCUACAUUCCCUGCUUAUACACAGUCUACAGCUUCAACCACUAGUACAACAAACAGUACUGCAGCAAAACCAGCAGCUUCAAUUACAAGUAAGCCUGCUACACUCACAACCACCAGUGCAACCAGUAAGUUGAUCCAUCCAGAUGAGGAUAUAUCACUGGAAGAAAGAAGGGCACAGUUACCAAAAUAUCAGCGUAAUCUUCCUCGACCAGGACAGACUCCAAUUGGUAAUCCACCAGUUGGACCAAUUGGGGGUAUGAUGCCACCACAGCCAGGUAUCCCACAGCAGCAAGGAAUGAGACCUCCAAUGCCACCUCAUGGUCAGUAUGGUGGUCAUCAUCAAGGCAUGCCAGGUUACCUUCCUGGCGCUAUGCCACCUUAUGGACAGGGACCACCAAUGGUGCCCCCUUACCAAGGUGGGCCUCCUCGACCUCCAAUGGGAAUGAGACCUCCUGUUAUGUCGCAAGGUGGCCGUUACUGAUCUUACUUCAUCAAGUCUAAUAGGUUUUUAGAAGUGAAGUAUAGUAAAUUUGAUUCGUUAAAUUGUGAAGGCGCUGGAAUUACAUGAACAUACCAUCUUAAAUAAAGCCCUGCCAUAGGACAGGCUGAGGCUGAGUCUCAGUGUUGCCCUGUUCAGUCUGAGCAGCAGAAUUUCAGCAUUUGCUACUUACUGGUAGAGAAGAAAAAUCCCACAGCCCUGCCAGUACAGGUUAGUUUAAUCUGUAAGUACCUGAUGUUCCUUUUUUUUUUUUUUACCCCACCCCCACCCCCAACAUACUCAUUUAAGGCACAUAAGGAAGAAAAAAACUGCUGUGCAGUUUCUUAAAUGUGAGUAUAAAUAAUAGAUCCAUUGGACAUUCUCAAACACUCAGUUCUUGGACCGGAUCGAGUAGCUCUAGGCUUGCUGACCCUAGUUGUAAUACAGGCGUAAUGCUGCUCUUUUAUUAUCUGGUGGUUCUUGAACCUUUUAGAUGCAUUUUAGACAGAAGGGAGAGGGGAAAUACUUUGUUUACACAGUACAUGUAGUCCAUGGCUUCAUGUCCAGGGUCCUUGAUUAAGCUACUCCAUGGUGUUUUUCAGUCAACCUUUACCUUCUACAGUGUGAAUCAACAUAAGACAAGACAGAUUUCCUCAAUUAUAGCAGUGGAAAAAUGGUGUACAAGGGAGUUUUAAAGCAAGUUUUAUAAGCAAGGGAGUUUUAAAAGUCAAAUUCUUAUGUAAUUCUUGGAGUUUAAUGAGGAAGCCAUAUAUUUAAGAUUUAACCAGUGAAAGUAAAAGUAAUUUGGAUGGUGAUUAGUCAUCUUCAGUUGGAUCAUUAGUAUUUUAUUUGGGACCAAUAUGAUUUGUUUAAAAUUUUAAAGAUCUACAUCUAGCAGCCAGUAAUAAAAGUAUAUUGUGAAUUUUUCCCCACUUUGUAUUUGAUUGUAAAAUGCCUGAGGGCUUAAGUUUGAUUGCCUUUCACAGUUUAAUCUAAGAAUGGCGUAGAUACAGUGGAAAUGGUUUUCCUUAUCUCUUUAGAGCCGCCUUUCUGGUGAGUACUGCUUUAUAAUUUUCAUAUCAUGGCUUUAUUUUUUUAGCCUAGCUGAAACAUGACAGUGAUCAAAGAGGAGAGCAGUCAGAAUUUUCACAGCUUGGGCAGUAAAUGGAUCAGAUCUCUAGACCAUUGACAUUUCCCUAUGGUCCCUAUUUGGGUUCAGCCACCCCUCUCAUUGUCCUAAAGGAUCAUAUGCUCAAAAAUGUUGAACACAGAUUAUUUCCUUUGGUGAGGAGAAAUGAUUGUUUUACUUAAAAUUAUAGAGAUGGCUCAACAGUUUAAGACCAUGCCAUAACUCCAGGUGUGGUGGUACACACCUUUAAUCCUAGCAAGUGGAUCUCCAGGAGUUCCAGGACAGCCUAGUCUACAUAGUGAGUUCAAGGACAGACAGGGCUAUGUUCUCUACAAAAACAGAAAAAGGAAAAACAUGUCAUGCUGGCAGUGGACCUAAGCUCAGUUCCCAUUAUCCAUGUCAGGUGACUCACAACCACCUAGCUCCAUGAGGAUCUUGGGCAUAUGUGCUCAUGAGCACAUACACAUGCACAUAAUUAAGAAAUACAUCCUUUUUAAAAAAAAAAACACACCCCCUCCCUUUAACACAGUACUUUUUUUUUUUUUCAGUGAUCUUGUUUCUCACUGCAUAGGUGAAUGAAAUAAUAGAAUUAUAUUCUGUUCUUGAGCAGUUUUCAUCAUUCUCACCCUGCAUGGAAAACUUGGGGUACAAAUACUGAUUUCUAGCAUAUGUUUACUUGUGAAAAUUAGCCCACAAGUCCAUUUAUUUACUAUCUUGUUUAGUCCUUAGCCUGUGACAGAAGGAUUUCUUUCCCUCUUGUUUUUAACCACAUUCUAGAUAAUGUCAGUAUAUUUAUAUAUACAUUCCAUUUCUGCUAUGACCUUUGUGAAUCAAUAAAGUCAAUCGUGUUGCUUUUAGUAUAAACAAUAUUAGUUUUCUAAAAUCUAGAAUUCAUGAUGUGAGUGUGUAUGGUAAUGUAUUCUAGAUGAGCUCUCAACAAAGUCUUCAGUCUGAAUUUGUGUCUUUAAGAUUUAAAGUGAAAUAAAUAUCUAAGGAACUCUGUCCUUUCCUAGCAUGGAUAAGCAGACUGACAGUUGGUAAGUAUGUAACUUCAAAUGCAUGUAGUGGUAAGGGUGAGUUGCCAAAUUGUACUCCAAGACAAUUAGAAGAGAACAGAAAUUCCUGAAUCAGUCUAGGAACUUUAUAUGUAUAUUUAAUGUUUGCUCCAAGUAUGUGUACUCAAAAUGAUUAAACUGAAACACACCUUACUCAUUUGUCUGAUUUCUUUUUGUUUGUUUUUGUGUUUUUUGGUGGUGGUGGUAGUUUUUAUUUUUUGAUAUAGAAAUUUAAGUUAUGCUACCUUUUCCUUGAGGUGUCAAUACAUGAUUAUUGUAAUUACCUUAAAGAUAGUUGGCUUACAUGUAUUCUCACAACACAACAUUGAUUUAGAGUUUACUUAAAACCUUCUGUUUUUCAUUUUCAUUUAAAAAUAAGCAAAAUAUGGUGGCAAAUGGGAGAGAAUCACUGUAUAAUUUCUGGUGCACAAUUUUUUUUUUUAAAUUAUCUGUGUCUGGUGCAUCCACAUGCAGUUUCUCUUUUGAAGCUGAAAGAGGCUUGUCUGAUUCUUAGAACUGGAGCUUCAGGCACUUGUAACCCACCUGGUGUGGGUCCUGAGAACUGACUAAACUUAGGUCCUCCUGCAAGAGGAGUGUCUCUAACUGCUGAGCUGUCUGCAUUCUUAGCCAGUGCUUUAUAAGUUAUGGGGAAGUACUGGAAUUUGCUGGGAAGAGGCUCUCCUCUUUUUUUUUUUUUUUUUUUUAAUGUGGGUAUCCUCCCCCACACCCACCGUCACUCUGUUAUAUUGUAAACUAUCCUAGGCACACCAGAGUACAACCUUGGAGUUUGUUCCAAUGUGGGUUGUGGGAAGCCAUUUCACCACCCCUCUGGUGUUGGGUUAGUAACACAAGGAUAACAGGCCAAACUGAAAAGUGUGUAAUACAAUGGAAAAGAUGAUUAUUUCAGAGAAGUAAGUCAUUUCUUUACAUCAUUGUUUUCCAGAAAGUUACAGAAAUGGGUCUGCCUUUCUUUAGUCUCCAGGUUUUACUCUUGACAAAUGUCAAGUUGCACUUGGAGAAAAUGAAGAGCAAAUCAUUUGGGGAUAUGAUGUGAUAUGUGGAGGAUCUUGAGCAAAGUACCAUAAGGAAGAAUAGAUUUUCUAGUCUGUGUAUGAUUACAUGGUGCAUGAACAGAAAUCUUGACCAAUGUCAUUUUUUAUGUAAGUUCACUAAAGGUGAAUUAUAUGCUAGCCUUUAAUUUACUAACACUUGGAACUUUGUGAUAAAAUAAAAUUUUCCCACACAAAUAAUAGUGUAUGUGAUACUUUGUGUCUCCUGGCUCAGGAGCAUUAGUUUAUAUAGUGUGUUCUUCUCCAACCCUAGUGCGCAUCUACACAUACGAGACUGUUGGACUUGGGUAUAUACUUAAAGCAUUGUAGUUGAAUCCCACUGAGUGGGAUCUCUGUCCCUGGCUGUUAGGAACUUGCUAUGUAGACCCUGUUCUCCUGGAAUUCCCAGAAUCCUCCUGCCUCGUCUUCCCAGUGUUUGGAUUGAAGGUAGGCACCAAGCUGAGCAUAAAUUCCAUUCUUUCAUCUUCUCUAGUUCCUACAUUGUUUUACCUUUCUCUUCCCACUAGUGCCACAUUUUAGGUAACAAACUGAAUUAGGGAUGAUUAAAGUAAUUUGAAUACAGUGGUUACUGAAUCAUUGUUUUAUGUAUCCUAACUUAGUCCUAGCAGUGCUGCUUGUACUUUUCACACCUUUAAUCCCAGCACGUGGGGAGGGAAAGCCAGGCAGAUCUGAGUUUGAAGGGAGCCUAGUCUAUAGGGCAAGAUCCAGGACAAACAGUUGUACUCGGAAACCUUGUCUCAAAAUAACCUAAAUAAGUUAAUUUAGUAACAUUGUAUCUGUGUGUGUGUAUACUUUUUCUUUGUACCACACACAUGACUGGUUCCCACAGAGGCCAGAAGAGGGUGUCAGAUCCCUUGCCUGGAGUUACAGAUUGUUGUAAGCUACCACGUAGGUACUGGAAAUUGAACACCAGCCCGCCUCUUUUGGGAGCACAUAACUAUCGCUCCAGUCCUCAGACUAAGUCUUUUUUUUUUUGGAGGGGGGGGAGCUGAGGAUCAAACCCAGGGCGUUGUGCUUGCUAGGCAAAUGCACUACCACUGAGCUAAAUCCGCAACCCCCAGACUAAAUCUUAAAAUGUCCAGGCUGUUCUAAAACUUAGAAUUUGGCAUGUUCAGACCCCCCACUCCCAGUAACAAAGCACAUACCUCUGUUACCAGAUCUUACUUUUCUGAAACCCAUACAUUUCCAAAGGCACUUAGUUGUGGGAUGCAAUUCAGUGGUCCAUUUGUUAACUGAUUUCACUUUUUGCCUGGAUAAUACAAGAGUGCCUUUGUAGGAUUUUAAACCUGAAUGAAUCAUGGUGUCCUUUUGGUCAGGACCUUUAAGACAUACUUAGUAAUUAUAACUUAAAUACCAAAGGUCUUUUGGACAGCAAAUGGGGAAGGGUGCAAGUAGUUUCGGUGGGGGUGACAAAGUAAGAUACUGAACAUUACUUUGGAUUCAACAGAGGACAGAAGUCAGUUGGGUGAAUAAUUACUGUAAACAUUGAAACUGCAAAAGGAAAAAGACAAUUGUACUAUUAGAGAUCAUAUACAGACCUCGUUAGGCCUCUGUGUGUGUGUAUGCUGUGUGUGUGUUGUGUGUCAGGGUUUCUCUGUAGCCCUGGCUGCCCUGUCAGCGGUUCUGUAGACUAGGAAGGCCUCAGAUAUGCCUGCCUGUGGCUUCUGAGUGCCAGGAUUAAAGGUGUGGGCCACCACAGCACCUCCACUUUAGGAAUCUCACUGAAGUUAAAAUAGGAAAAUCCAUGCUUGGCCACAAAACCUAAGAACACCCUGAACCGUUGGUUUCUGAAUAUACUUAGGUAAUGCUUCAUUAUUGAUUUAUAUUGUGGGUAAAGAUUAGCUUACUCCAUCUCUAUCAUACUUUACGUCUUUGCGAUUGUAUCAUGUUUUGUUUCAUUAUUGCUUUUCUCAGUUGUUUGUAGAGGAUGUCUCAGCUGAAUCCAUAAGGACUGGGAGCACUCACUGGUAAAGAUACCAUCCUAUUCACCUGUCACUUCUUAGGUUUUAUGUGGACAGUCAAGGUUGGGGCAUAAUGCAUUUUCUGUAAACAUUGCAUUUUGUUUCUACACUGAAAAAUUCUGUUUGCUUGCAGCCCAGGCUGGCCAGAAACUCAGUAUGUGCUUUACUCUUUGCAGUUUCAUUGUCUUUUUUUUUUUUUUUUUUUUUUUAAAGACAAAAAAUGUCUAUGAUAUUUUGAGCUAUUAGUCAUUCUGCCUGAGUUAACAAUAGCUAGGAUUAAGGGUGUGUGCCAUCUCAACCAAUACAUUCUGUUUCUUAGCAACUAAUUGGUUUAUAAAAUUUUUUUUUUCAGAUGUAGUUUCAAUUACAACAGUCCUUAAACCCUCUUGUAGCCAGGGAUCACCUGAAACUUGUUAUACUUUGUGAGUGUGCCUGUGUUACUUUAUGUACCACUUUAUGUGUGCUUUAUGUCUGGGUGCCUGCUGACAAAAGAGGGUAUUAGCUCCCCUGGAACUGGAGUUGCAGAUUAUAAUAUGGGAAAGGAAUCUAGAUCCAGUACAAGAGCAGCAAAUGCUCUGACCACUGAGCUGUCUUUCGGCUUGCCUGGAGCUCUUUAUCCUUGUGUUUACAUACUGGGUUUCGGGGCAUUACAGGUGUAUGCACUUCCUUGCCUUAAAAAACUUCAUGUGGAAAUUUGUACUCCCUUAUAUAACCUUAUUACUGUUGUGAGCUUAUAUGAAUUAUUUUACCUGGGAAUUCAUGUGGCCAUUAAGCCUGUGGCCCUGAAUUUGAUCCUUGGGAUUUCCAUGGUAGGAGAGAAAUGACACUCCCACGUUGUACCCUGUCCUCCAUCUGUGUCCUGUGGCAGUCACAUAAAUAUUAAAAUUUUUUAGUCUUAAAAAAAAUAAAGAAUGGGGUGGUAUACACCUUUUAGUCCCAGCAUUGGAGUGGCAGGCACAGAGGCAGACAGAACUGCCAGUUAUCUUGGUCUGUAUAGAAAGUUCCAAACUAGCCAGGGAUACGUCAUGAAAUUGCCAUGAGCUAAUAUGUAGCCAGGACUACAUGGCUCAAAACAAAACUGAGGCCCCCCCCCAGAAAAAAAUCACAAGUUUUACUCUGUGGACCUUUGUUUUUGCAGGUCUUUCAGUUUACCUUGGGCUUUCUUAGAUUUCAAAUGUAACUUCAGUUAGACAAUCUCUGAGACAGGGUCUCACUAUGAAGUUAUGAUUUGAUCUGCCACUCACUAUGUGGACCAAGCUGGCCUUCCUGCCUCUGUCUCCUGAGUGCUCCCAGCCCCAGGACACUUUAUGUGACUUGUGUUAACUGUUGGAUAUUGUCUGCUUACCUAGCUAGAAUUUUAUAAUGUGCAUGAGUGUUUUGUCCUUGUGUGUUUGAGUGCAUUUGCGUGCCUGGUGCCCAUGGAGGUGAGAGGAGAUGGCAUUGGAUCCCCUGGAAAUGGAGUUACAAUUUCAAGCCUUCAUGUGGAGCUGAGAAUUGAAUCCAGAUCUUUGCUCUUAACUACUGAGCCAUCUCCAGCCCAGCUCACCACUAGAACUUCAGGAAAGUUGGAGACGUUUGUUUCCCCAUAGUCUGUGUGGCAGUGCCAGACACUCAGCGCGUAACUUAGUAGAUGAAUGAAUGUCUCAACAUGAGAAAAUCCUUCAUUAGCAGUGGCUAACGCCUAUAAAAUCCCAGCGUCUUGAGAAGCUGUGGCAGGAGGAUCCUUCAUAUCCCAUCAUGAGUAAUGGUGGAAAAACAUGAGAAUCUUAUUUGCUAGGGCUGUAGACUGAAGAACACUCGCUGCUCACAGAAGUCUGGGCUUGAUUCCCAGCACCUAAAUGGCAGUUCACAGUUCUCUGUUACUCCAGUUCCAGGGAACGAAAUACUUUCUUACGACUUCCACAGGUACCAGGCCCACAAGUGGCGUACAGACAUACAUGCAGGCAAAAAACCCAAGCACAUAAUUACUCUUACGAACCAUAUUUGUGGGGCGGUGAGAGAGUCUAGUGGGAAAAGCAUUUGCUACCAUCCCUGAUAAUCUGGUUUUGAUAUCUGUUCUCCAUGGUGGAGGGAGAGAACCAUUUCUUGGAAUGUCCUCUGACCUUCACAUGCACUGUGUGUGUGUAACUGAGGGGAUGCCCAUUGAUAGUGCUUAAUAGCAUUUACUGUUUUUGCGGAGGACCUUAGUUCAGCUCCCAGCUGUCCUGGUCCUGGAACUUGCUAUGUAGGCCAGGAUGGUCUUGAAUUUACAGAAAGCUAUGUCUGCUUCCAAGAGUACUGGAUUAAAGGAGUGUGCCACUAAGCUCAGCCCAGUAACUCAGCUUUUUUUGGUUAGUUUCCACUGAAACAUAUUCUAGAAUGUAUCUGGGUAAGGGAGGCAGGGCCAAUACAGCCUGAACUAGUUUUAGUUCCUACUAUUAAACUUUUCUCUGAACUUUUAAGGGGAAGCCCUUGCAUAUGCAUGUUCAUAAUUGGAUUGCAUAUGAUUAAAAUCUGAUGUAUCAUGGAAAAGAACACAUCAGAGCAAAGGUUUACAUAAUCCAAGUCAAUCAACCUCAACAGAAAACCACCUACUCUACCCUUUAGCAAACAGUUCCUCUUCCAUGAAAUGAGAGCACAAACAGGACAUGAGUCCCUUGGGUACUCCAAUGCAAUAGGGCACAACUGGCUUGCAGCUUACCUGACUUGGAAUGUCACUAUGCUUCUGAAUAAAGUUUACUUUUCACUUCUCA